UACGUAGGGUGCGAGCGUUAAUCGGAAUUACUGGGCGUAAAGCGUGCGCAGGCGGUUCGUUAAGUUCGAUGUGAAAGCCCCGGGCUCAACCUGGGAACUGCAUUGGAAACUGGCGAGCUUGAGUGUGGCAGAGGGAGGUAGAAUUCCACGUGUAGCAGUGAAAUGCGUAGAGAUGUGGAGGAAUACCGAUGGCGAAGGCAGCCUCCUGGGCCAACACUGACGCUCAUGCACGAAAGCGUGGGGAGCAAACAGG
rnacentral:rRNA from 1 species